rnacentral:rRNA from 1 species
GGGUGAGUAAUAUAUCGGAACGUACCCAAGAGUGGGGGAUAACGUAGCGAAAGUUACGCUAAUACCGCAUACGAUCUAUGGAUGAAAGCAGGGGACCGCAAGGCCUUGUGCUCCUGGAGCGGCCGAUAUCUGAUUAGCUAGUUGGUGGGGUAAAGGCCCACCAAGGCAUCGAUCAGUAGCUGGUCUGAGAGGACGACCAGCCACACUGGAACUGAGACACGGUCCAGACUCCUACGGGAGGCAGCAGUGGGGAAUUUUGGACAAUGGGCGCAAGCCUGAUCCAGCAAUGCCGCGUGAGUGAAGAAGGCCUUCGGGUUGUAAAGCUCUUUUGUCAGGGAAGAAACGGUGAAGGCUAAUAUCCUUUGCUAAUGACGGUACCUGAAGAAUAAGCACCGGCUAACUACGUGCCAGCAGCCGCGGUAAUACGUAGGGUGCAAGCGUUAAUCGGAAUUACUGGGCGUAAAGCGUGCGCAGGCGGUUUUGUAAGUUUGUCGUGAAAUCCCCGGGCUCAACCUGGGAAUGGCGAUGAAGACUGCAAGGCUAGAGUUUGGCAGAGGGGGGUAGAAUUCCACGUGUAGCAGUGAAAUGCGUAGAUAUGUGGAGGA